AAAAACGAUGAAGAAAUUAGACCAAGUUCGGAGGAGACAAUCAGGUUGAAAUUAAGUCUCCGCCAGGAAAAUUGAUCUGGGCAGCGUGGAAUCUGGAAACCCGGCCUAGCUUUGGCCUUUGAGCUUGAUGGUCAUAUUCACAAGGAUAUGUUUGUAAUUCAAGAGAAGGGUGAGGGUAUCCUUUUUUUUUUUAUAAACAAACUAAUCUUAUAUUUGCCAGAUCAGAGCCGCAAACGCGGAGAUUCGCAGUUGGCGCCCACGCUCAUCUCAUCUUUGCUCUAUUCCUAAACAAGCUGUUGCUUUCUUGCUUACUGCUCUGUGCAAGGGAAUAAGCCCACUUAGCAUGGGAAACAAGCCUGUGGCUGUGAAACAAGAAAGGGAGGAGAUUCUCUUGAAAAUCGUGCCUCCUGUUGAUCGUGCUUACAGUCGAUGGCUUGCUCGAGAUCUUGAGAUGAUUCAUGGCUUUACUUUGAGAAAUUGCUGUGCAGUGAAGCCACCAGAUCAUUAUAUAGAAUACAUGCGCUUAAAUGGAUGGUUGGACGUGGACUUGGAUGAUCCUGAUCUGGCCCAUUUAUUUCAAAGCAAAUAAUGUUUUCAAUGGAAUUAUUGUUAUAUUACAUAGGACCUUCACAUGCAGAGUCUACGCACUUGCUAAAGGGAGUAAUUUGUCAUAAAGAAAAGCGGAAGGUUGCUAUCCCCAAACAAUGACAAGUCUUCUGUGUAUGUGUAUCAAAAUCCAGCUAUUCUGCAAGUGCUUGAUCAUUAAAGCCUAUUUAUCGAAUGGCUAUAUAUUUAUAUGCA
rnacentral:misc_RNA from 1 species